ACACACAGAGAGAGGGGGGGGGGAGAGAACACAAUGGAAUAGAGAAUCCUUGGAUUUUAUACCUGAUGAUGUUUUGACGGACAGACCACCAAACAGAGACAAAGAAGAAAUGGGGAAAGAGAAGAAGAGAAGAUGUCCCCCUGUUGCUAUUGAAUGUGUUUAACAGGCUUUGGUCUGGCAUGUGUUUAUUUGAGGUACAGUUCUACUUUGACCUUUGAACCUUUUAGAAGGACAUUAGCCACUGCUUUAGACUCCUGAACAAUCAACCAAUUACCUGAUCAGCGGCUGUCAGUGAAACAUUGGCUACAUUCCAAUUCUCUUGAAGUGUGUACAUGUACCCCCUGGUGGAUUUAAAAGGCAUGGAAUGGUUACAGUAUUAUAUGGUGGCCAUUGUGUCCACCUGGCUGAAGGUAUCCUCCUCACUCAGAUCACAGAUCCAGGAUCAGCUUAUCCUCCCCGUAUCAGAUCUUUAUCCAAUAGGGGUUUUACACGCAAAACUGAUCAUAGAUCAGUGUCUAAAGACAACUACAUAACUGGUCUUUUAAUUUGUUCCUUUUGAUUGUUUAAGGAAAACUUCCUCCUCCUCUGAGGCUGUGUCCUGACUGGCACCCUGUUUCUUUUAUAGUGCACUGCUUUUGACCAGAGCCUAUAGGAAGUAGUGCACUAGGAAAUAGGGUUCAUUUGACCAGGACCCCGAGGGCUUAGUGCACUGCUUUUGACCAGGGCCCCGAGGGCUUUGUGCACUGCUUUUGACCAGGGCCCCGAGGGCUUAGUGCACUGCUUUUGACCAGAGCCUAUAGGACUCAGUGCACGGCCCUGGUCAAAAGUAGUGCACUAGGAAAUAGGGUGCAUUUGGGACGCAGACUGAGUGGGCUUUGUGCACUGCUUUUGACCAGGACCCCGAGGGCUUAGUGCACUGCUUUUGACCAGGGCCCUGAGGGCUUAGUGCACUGCUUUUGACCAGGGCCCCGAGGGCUUAGUGCACUGCUUUUGACCAGGGCCCCGAGGGCUUAGUGCACUGCUUUUGACCAGGGCCCCGAGGGCUUAGUGCACUGCUUUUGACCAGGGCCCCGAGGGCUUAGUGCACUGCUUUUGACCAGGGCCCCGAGGGCUUUGUGCACUGCUUUUGACCAGGGCCCCGAGGGCUUUGUGCACUGCUUUUGACCAGGGCCCUGAGGGCUUAGUGCACUGCUUUUGACCAGGGCCAGCAGCACCUGUGUGACCUCACAGACAGGAAAACAGUGAGCAGCACCUGUGUAACCUCACAGACAGGAAGACAGUGAGCAGCACCUGUGUGACCUCACAGACAGGAAGACAGUGAGCAUCACCUGUGUGACCUCACAGACAGGAAGACAGUGAGCAGCACCUGUGUGACCUCACAGACAGGAAGACAGUGAGCAGCACCUGUGUGACCUCACAGACAGGAAGACAGUGAGCAGCACCUGCGUGACCUCACAGACAGGAAGACAGUGAGCAUCACCUGCGUAACCUCACAGACUGGAAGACAGUGAGCAUCACCUGCGUAACCUCACAGACAGGAAGACAGUGAGUAGCACCUGCGUGACCUCACAGACAGGAAGACAGUGAGCAGCACCUGCGUGACCUCACAGACAGGAAGACAGUGAGCAGCACCUGCGUGACCUCACAGACAGGAAGACAGUGAGCAGCACCUGCGUGACCUCACAGACAGGAAGACAGUGUUCAACAUGCUUCAUUCAGAACAACCUUUGGUCCGACAGAAAACAACAUUCGUUCAAACCAUUAUGCAACCUCUCCGUUGGAGUUAGAGGCUGGGGACCAUGUUGACACUGGAACACGUUGUAACCUCCGGACUAAACUGUUGUUGUUGUUGUUAGCAGGUACCAGGUGGUUUUGUAACACUGUCUAUGGGUUGUUUAGACCAAACGGUGGACCUCUAAGAUGAUAGAGGGAGAGAGAGACACGGGACCAGAACAGGACAGGUUUUUGUGUCAGUGUUUUUUGGGGAAGAAAUGUAAAGGAUACAUUUUAUACAAAAGUAAAGCCGCUUCAAAUCCUCAAAACUCCUUGUCCCCUGAGCCUGAGCCUUCUCAAUCCCAAACAUAUACCCAGCCCUGCCCAGCCUCUACCCUCACUUCACCUGGUCUAACCUAUUCAUGACAGGUCUGGGGAAAUAACAGGAGAAAUGUGAUGACUAAAACACCAGAGAACUGGGGAGAAAAUAGGAGUCAACGGCAUAAACUGACUGACAUACAAUGAGUGUACAAAACAUUAAGAGCACCUUCCUAAUAUUGACUUGCACCCCUUUUGUCCUCAGAACAGCCUCAUUUCGUCAGGAGUAUAGACUCUACAAGGUGUUGAAAGCGUUCCACAGGGAUGCUGGCCCAUGUUGACUCCAAUGCUUCCCACAGUUGUGUCAAGUCAGCUGGAUGUCCUUUGGGUGGUGGACCAUUCUUGAUACACACGGGAAACUGUUGAGCGUGAAAAACCCAGCAGCGUUGCAGUUCUUGACACAACGGUGUGCCAGGCACCUCCUACCAUACCCUGUUCAAAGACACAUGUUUCUUGCCCACUCACCCUCUGAAUGUCCCACAUACACAAUCCAUGUCUCAAUUGUCUCAAGUCUUAAAAAUCCUUCUUUAACCUGUCUCCUUCCCUGAUUGAAAUGGAUUUAACAAGUGACAUCAAUAAGGGAUAAUAGCUUUCACCUGGUCAGUCUAGGGGCGGCAGGUAGCCUAGUGGUUAGAGUGUAGGGGCGGCAGGUAGCCUAGUGGUUAGAGUGUAGGGGCGGCAGGUAGCCUAGUGGUUAGAGUGUUGGACUAGUAACCGAAAGGUUGCAAGAUCGAAUCCCCAAGCUGACAAGGUAAAAAUCUGUCGUUCUGCCCCUGAAGAAGGCAGUUCCUAGGCCGUCAUUGAAAAUAAGAAUUUGUUCUUAUUUCUUUAUAUGUAAAUAAAUGAAAUGUAAACACACAUUGAAAUGAAUUUCAAACCCAUUGAAGUGAAUGUAAUGUAUUUCAACACAGGGUAUUACAUCUGCCAAACUAAUCAAUCACCCACCACCAGCAUUUACUACAGGACUGAGUUCACCUCUCCGUGUUUCACAGCUGUGUUGUGAUUGGAUACGUUUUGCAGUUCUGGGCUCUCAUUGGAUAAUUUUGGCAGUUGUGGGCUUUCAUCUCACCCUGUGUCGCUUGUUCUCAUUGAGUUAUUUGUUGUAAAUUGUCGCCGGCUCUUACUGUGUUAGACUGUCCUAUUAGGUCUCUGUUCUGUCUGUCACUCUGUCAGACUGUCCUAGCAGGUCUCUGUUCUGUCUGUCACUGUGUCAGACCGUCCUAGCAGGUCUCUGUUCUGACUGUCCUAGCAGGUCUCUGUUCUGACUGUCCUAGCAGGUCUCUGUUCUGACUGUCCUAGCAGGUCUCUGUUCUGACUGUCCUAGCAGGUCUCUGUUCUGUCUGUCACUGUGUCAGACUGUCCUAUUAGGUCUCUGUUCUGUCUGUCCUAGCAGGUCUCUGUUCUGACUGUCCUAGCAGGUCUCUGUUCUGACUGUCCUAGCAGGUCUCUGUUCUGACUGUCACUGUGUCAGACUGUCCUAGCAUGUCUCUGUUCUGUCUGUCACUGUGUCAGACUGUCCUAGCAGGUCUCUGUUCUGACUGUCCUAGCAGGUCUCUGUUCUGUCUGUCACUGUGUUAGACUGUUCUAGCAGGUCUCUGUUCUGUAUGUCACUGUUCUGACUGUCCUAUUAGGUCUCUGUUAUGUCUGUCACUGUGUCAGACCGUCCUAGAAGGUCUCUGUUCUGUCUGUCACUGUGUCAGACUGUCCUAUUAGGUCUCUGUUCUGUCUGUCACUGUGUCAGACUGUCCUAUUAGGUCUCUGUUCUGUCUGUCACUGUGUCAGACUGUUCUAGCAGGUCUCUGUUCUGUCUGUCACUGUUCUGACUGUCCUAGCAGGACUCUGUUCUGACUGUCCUAGCAGGUCUCUGUUCUGUCUGUCACUGUUCUGACUGUCCUAGCAGGACUCUGUUCUGACUGUCCUAGCAGGUCUCUGUUCUGACUGUCCUAGCAGGACUCUGUUCUGACUGUCCUAGCAGGUCUCUGUUCUGUCUGUCACUGUGUCAGACUGUCCUAGCGGGUCUCUGUUCUGUCUGUCACUGUGUCAGACUGUCUUAGCAGGUCUCUGUUCUGACUGUCCUAGCAGGUCUCUGUUCUGACUGUCACUGUGUCAGACUGUCCUAGCAGGACUCUGUUCUGACUGUCCUAGCAGGUCUCUGUUCUGACUGUCCUAGCAGGUCUCUGUUCUGACUGUCCUAGCAGGUCUCUGUUCUGACUGUCCUAGCAGGUCUCUGUUCUGACUGUCCUAGCAGGUCUCUGUUCUGACUGUCCUAGCAGGUCUCUGUUCUGACUGUCCUAGCAGGUCUCUGUUCUGACUGUCCUAGCAGGUCUCUGUUCUGACUGUCCUAGCAGGACUCUGUUCUGACUGUCCUAGCAGGACUCUGUUCUGACUGUCCUAGCACGGCUCCACACCAUUCUGGGAGUACUGUUCUAUCUGUAAAGUCAAAUCCCCUGGUUGCUCGUUUUAUGUUUUCUAUUGUAAACAAUGAGAUGCUUUUGGAAUAAAAGUCUAAAGCAAAACAUUCCAGUUA